UACGGAGGGUGCAAACGUUGCUCGGAAUCAUUGGGCGUAAAGCGCACGUAGGCGGUCUGUUAAGUCGGAUGUGAAAGCCCUCGGCUCAACCGAGGAAGUGCAUUCGAAACUGGCAGACUUGAAUAUGGAAGAGGGUCGCGGAAUUCCCGGUGUAGAGGUGAAAUUCGUAGAUAUCGGGAGGAACACCAGUGGCGAAGGCGGCGACCUGGGCCAAUAUUGACGCCGAGGUGCGAAAGCGUGGGAGCAAACAGG
rnacentral:rRNA from 1 species